rnacentral:rRNA from 1 species
CUGGCUCAGGACGAACGCUGGCGGCACGCUUAACACAUGCAAGUCGAACGGGGUAUUCGGAGCUUGCUUGAAUGACCUAGUGGCGGACGGGUGAGUAACACGUGAGCAAUCUGCCCUUAAGAGGGGGAUACCAGUUAGAAAUGACUGUUAAUACCGCAUAAGAUAGUAGUACCGCAUGGUACAGCUAUAAAAGAUUUAUCGCUUAAGGAUGAGCUCGCGUCUGAUUAGCUAGUUGGUGAGGUAACGGCUCACCAAGGCAACGAUCAGUAGCCGGACUGAGAGGUUGGACGGCCACAUUGGGACUGAGACACGGCCCAGACUCCUACGGGAGGCAGCAGUGGGGAAUAUUGCACAAUGGAGGGAACUCUGAUGCCAGCGAUGCCGCGUGAGGGAAGAAGGUUUUAGGAUUGUAAACCUCUGUUGACAGGGACGAUAAUGACGGUACCUGUUGAGGAAGCUCCGGCUAACUACGUGCCAGCAGCGGC